CAUCUUCUCGCCGAGGCCGCCGCGCCCGCCGCGCGCGCCCGUCCGUCCGGCAGCGCACGAGUUAAGGCUGGCACCGCGCCCGGCGGGAGGGGGGCGCCCACCUCCCCUCCCCCCGCGCCGGGCAUGCGGGGCCCGCUGGGCACCGAGGAGGAGCUGCCGCGGCUGUUCGCCGAGGAGAUGGAGAACGAGGACGAGAUGUCAGAGGAGGAAGAUGGUGGCCUCGAAGGUUUUGACGACUUCUUCCCUGCCGAGCCUGUGAGCCUUCCCAAGAAGAAGAAAGCCAAGAAGCUAAAGGAAAGCAAGUCCAAGGGGAAGCGGAAGAAGAAAGAGGGGAGCAACGAUGAGCUGUCAGACAAUGACGAGGACCUGGAGGAGAAGUCCGAGAGCGAGGGGAGCGACUACUCCCCGAACAAGAAGAAGAAGAAGAAAAUCAAGGACAAGAAGGAGAAGAAGGUCAAGCGGAAAAGGAAGGACGAGGAUGAGGGUGACAAUGACGACGGAUGCUUAAAGGAGCCCAAGUCCUCGGGGCAGCUCAUGGCCGAGUGGGGCCUGGACGAUGUAGACUAUCUGUUUUCGGAGGAGGACUAUCACACGCUAACCAACUACAAGGCCUUCAGCCAGUUCCUCCGGCCUCUCAUUGCCAAGAAGAACCCGAAGAUCCCCAUGUCCAAAAUGAUGACUGUCUUGGGGGCCAAGUGGCGGGAAUUCAGCGCCAACAACCCCUUCAAGGGCAGCUCUGCGGUGGCAGCAGCGGCAGCUGUGGCUGCAGCUGUGGAGACAGUCACCAUCGCCCCUCCGCUGGCCAUCAGCCCCCAGCAGGUGCCCCAGCCUGUGCCCAUCCGAAAGGCCAAGACCAAAGAGGGCAAGGGACCUGGCGUGAGGAAAAAGAUCAAAGGCUCCAAAGAUGGGAAGAAGAAGGGGAAGGGGAAGAAGGUGGCGGGGCUCAAGUUCCGCUUUGGGGGGAUCAGCAACAAGAGGAAGAAAGGCUCCUCGAGUGAGGAGGACGAUCGAGAGGAGUCAGACCUGGACAGUGCCAGCAUCCACAGCUCCUCCGUGCGCUCCGAGUGCUCCGCGGCCCUGGGCAAGAAGAGCAGGCGGAGACGCAAGAAGAAGAGGAUUGACGAUGGUGACGGCUACGAGACUGACCAUCAGGAUUACUGCGAGGUGUGCCAGCAGGGUGGGGAGAUCAUCCUGUGUGACACCUGCCCGCGGGCCUACCACCUGGUGUGCCUGGACCCCGAGCUGGAGAAGGCUCCCGAGGGCAAGUGGAGCUGCCCGCACUGCGAGAAGGAGGGCAUCCAGUGGGAGCCGAAGGACGACGAAGACGAGGAGGAGGAGGGCGGCUGUGAGGAGGAGGAGGAUGACCAUAUGGAAUUCUGCCGCGUGUGCAAGGACGGUGGCGAGCUGCUAUGCUGCGACGCCUGCCCCUCCUCCUACCACCUGCACUGCCUCAACCCGCCGCUGCCCGAGAUCCCAAACGGUGAAUGGCUCUGCCCGCGCUGUACUUGUCCCCCGCUGAAGGGCAAAGUCCAGCGGAUUCUACACUGGCGGUGGACGGAGCCCCCAGCGCCCUUCAUGGUCGGGCUGCCGGGACCCGAGGUGGAGCCGGGCCUGCCCCCACCCAAGCCCCUGGAGGGCAUCCCGGAGAGGGAGUUCUUUGUCAAGUGGGCGGGGCUGUCCUACUGGCACUGCUCCUGGGUGAAGGAGCUGCAGCUGGAACUGUACCACACGGUGAUGUACCGCAACUACCAAAGAAAGAACGACAUGGACGAGCCGCCGCCCUUCGACUACGGCUCUGGGGAUGAGGAGGGCAAGAGCGAGAAGAGGAAGAACAAGGACCCGCUCUACGCCAAGAUGGAGGAGCGCUUCUACCGCUACGGCAUCAAGCCCGAGUGGAUGAUGGUCCACCGCAUCCUGAACCACAGCUUCGACAAGAAGGGGGACGUGCACUACCUGAUCAAGUGGAAAGACCUGCCCUACGACCAGUGCACCUGGGAGAUCGAUGACAUCGACAUCCCCUACUACGACAGCCUUAAGCAGGCAUACUGGGGCCACAGGGAGCUGAUGCUGGGGGAGGACGCCCGGCUGCCCAAGCGGCUCAUCAAGAAGGGCAAGAAGCUGAAGGACGACAAACAGGAGAAGCCGCCGGACACGCCCAUCGUGGACCCCACAGUCAAGUUUGACAAGCAGCCAUGGUACAUCGAUGCCACGGGUGGCACGCUGCACCCGUACCAGCUGGAAGGCCUCAACUGGCUGCGCUUCUCGUGGGCACAGGGCACCGACACCAUCCUGGCCGAUGAAAUGGGCCUGGGGAAGACAGUGCAGACCAUCGUGUUCCUCUACUCCCUGUACAAAGAGGGCCACUCCAAGGGGCCCUACCUGGUCAGCGCACCCCUGUCCACCAUUAUCAACUGGGAGCGCGAGUUCGAGAUGUGGGCGCCGGACUUCUACGUGGUCACCUACACGGGGGACAAGGAGAGCCGCUCCGUGAUCCGCGAGAACGAGUUCUCCUUUGAGGACAAUGCCAUUCGGAGCGGGAAGAAGGUGUUCCGCAUGAAGAAAGAAGUGCAGAUCAAGUUCCACGUCCUGCUCACCUCCUACGAGCUCAUCACCAUCGACCAGGCCAUCCUGGGCUCCAUUGAGUGGGCCUGCCUUGUGGUGGAUGAGGCCCACCGGCUCAAGAACAACCAGUCCAAGUUUUUCAGGGUCCUGAACAGCUACAAGAUCGACUACAAGCUGCUGCUGACGGGAACCCCCCUUCAGAACAACCUGGAGGAGCUCUUCCAUCUCCUCAACUUCCUGACCCCGGAGAGGUUCAACAACCUGGAGGGCUUUCUGGAGGAGUUUGCCGACAUCUCCAAGGAGGACCAGAUCAAGAAGCUGCAUGACCUGCUGGGGCCGCACAUGCUCCGGCGGCUCAAGGCGGACGUGUUUAAGAACAUGCCGGCCAAGACGGAGCUCAUCGUGCGCGUGGAGCUGAGCCAGAUGCAGAAGAAGUACUACAAGUUCAUCCUCACACGGAACUUCGAGGCGCUGAACUCCAAGGGGGGCGGGAACCAGGUGUCGCUGCUCAACAUCAUGAUGGACCUGAAGAAGUGCUGUAACCACCCCUACCUCUUCCCUGUGGCUGCAGUGGAAGCCCCUGUGCUGCCCAACGGCUCCUACGAUGGCAGCUCCCUGGUCAAGUCCUCAGGGAAACUCAUGCUGCUGCAGAAGAUGCUGAAGAAGCUGCGGGACGAGGGGCACCGGGUGCUCAUCUUCUCCCAGAUGACCAAGAUGCUGGACCUUCUGGAGGACUUCCUGGAGUAUGAGGGCUACAAGUACGAGAGGAUUGAUGGCGGCAUCACUGGGGGUCUGCGGCAGGAGGCGAUCGACAGAUUCAAUGCCCCAGGGGCCCAGCAGUUCUGCUUCCUCUUGUCCACCCGGGCGGGUGGCCUGGGCAUCAACCUGGCCACAGCAGACACGGUCAUCAUCUAUGACUCGGACUGGAACCCGCACAAUGACAUCCAGGCCUUCAGCCGUGCCCACCGCAUCGGGCAGAACAAGAAGGUGAUGAUCUACCGCUUUGUGACUCGGGCGUCAGUGGAGGAGCGCAUCACGCAGGUGGCCAAGCGCAAGAUGAUGCUGACCCACCUGGUGGUGCGGCCCGGCCUGGGCUCCAAGUCAGGCUCCAUGACCAAGCAGGAGCUGGACGACAUCCUCAAGUUCGGCACGGAGGAGCUCUUCAAGGACGACGUGGAGGGCAUGAUGUCCCAGGGCCAGAGGCCUGUUACACCCGUUCCUGACAUGCAGUCCUCCAAGGGUGGCGCCCUGGCCGCCAGUGCCAAGAAGAAGCACGGUAGCACCCCACCAGGUGACAACAAGGACGUGGAGGACAGCAGUGUGAUCCACUAUGACGAUGCGGCCAUCUCUAAGCUGCUGGAUAGGAACCAGGAUGCUACAGACGACACGGAGCUGCAGAAUAUGAAUGAGUAUCUGAGCUCCUUCAAGGUGGCGCAGUACGUGGUGCGCGAGGAGGAUGGCGUGGAGGAGGUUGAGCGGGAGGUGAUCAAGCAGGAGGAGAACGUAGACCCUGACUACUGGGAGAAGCUGCUGCGGCACCAUUACGAGCAGCAGCAGGAGGACCUGGCCCGCAACCUGGGCAAGGGCAAGCGCAUCCGGAAGCAGGUCAACUACAACGACGCCUCCCAGGAGGACCAGGAGUGGCAGGACGAGCUCUCGGACAACCAGUCUGAGUAUUCCAUUGGCUCCGAAGACGAGGACGAGGACUUCGAGGAGAGGCCGGAGGGCCAGAGUGGACGGCGACAAUCCAGGAGGCAGCUCAAGAGUGACAGGGACAAACCCCUGCCGCCUCUUCUUGCUCGAGUUGGGGGCAACAUUGAGGUGCUGGGCUUCAAUGCACGGCAGCGGAAGGCCUUCCUGAACGCCAUCAUGCGCUGGGGCAUGCCGCCCCAGGACGCCUUCAACUCCCACUGGCUCGUGAGGGACCUGCGGGGCAAGAGCGAGAAGGAGUUCAGAGCCUAUGUGUCCCUCUUCAUGCGGCACCUGUGUGAGCCGGGGGCGGACGGUGCGGAGACCUUCGCGGACGGCGUGCCCCGGGAAGGGCUGUCCAGGCAGCAUGUGCUCACGCGUAUCGGGGUCAUGUCACUGGUUAGGAAGAAGGUUCAGGAGUUCGAGCACGUCAAUGGCAAGUACAGCACCCCGGACCUGGUCCCUGAGGGACCCGAGGUCAAGAAGCCAAGUGAAGCCAUCUCCUCAGACCCCAACACGCCGGUUCCCGCCAGCCCUGCCCACUUGCCACCUGCCCCACUGGGCCUGCCAGACAAAUUGGAUGCCCCACUGGGCUAUGUAGAGGAGAAGGAGCCAGGGCUGCCAAAGCCAAAGAAGCCUCUGGAAACCCAGGCCCCGCCCGCUGUCCUGGACAGAGUGGACGGGGAGGACAAGCAGGAGAGUUUGGACAGCAAGGACAGAGCCCGUGACGAGCGGCCGGAGGAGGCAGAGAAGGCCCAGGGCUCCCCGGAGCAGCUGCCCAAAGCCCCUUGUCUUGCAGAGGAGACACUGCCCGAGAGGGAGAAGGCCCCGGACAAGCUGGACCUCAGCCUCAGUCACAGCAGAGGGGACAGCGGGGACUUCGGGCCAGAUGACUCCAAGACUGACGAGAAGGAGGCCAGUGAGUCCCAGCAGAAUGGUGACAGAGAGGAAGAGGAGGAGGGCAAGAAAGAGGACAAGAACGGGAAAUUCAAAUUCAUGUUCAACAUUGCGGACGGUGGCUUCACAGAGCUGCACACCUUGUGGCAGAAUGAGGAGCGGGCUGCGGUGUCCUCGGGGAAGAUCUACGACAUCUGGCACCGGCGCCACGACUACUGGCUGCUGGCGGGCAUCGUGACGCACGGCUACGCCCGCUGGCAAGACAUCCAGAACGACCCCAGGUACCUGAUCCUCAACGAGCCCUUCAAGUCUGAGAUCCACAAGGGCAACUACCUGGAGAUGAAGAAUAAGUUCCUGGCCCGCAGGUUCAAGCUGCUGGAGCAGGCCUUGGUCAUCGAGGAGCAGCUGCGGAGGGCCGCGUACCUCAACAUGACCCAGGACCCCAACCAUCCAGCCAUGGCCCUCAACGCCCGCCUGGCGGAGGUGGAGUGCCUGGCCGAGAGCCACCAGCACCUGUCCAAGGAGUCCUUGGCCGGGAACAAGCCGGCCAAUGCCGUGCUGCACAAGGGCAAAGCGUCCACUUCUGGCCUCCUGCCCCGCAGUACUGAACCAGCUGGAGGAGCUGCUGAGCGACAUGAAGGCGGACGUGACACGCCUGCCCUCCAUGCUGUCCCGCAUCCCCCCAGUGGCCGCCCGCCUGCAGAUGUCGGAGCGCAGCAUCCUGAGCCGUCUGACCAACCGCGCCGGGGACCCCACCGUCCAGCAGGGCGCUUUCGGCUCCUCCCAGAUGUACAACAGCAACUUUGGGCCCAACUUCCGGGGCCCUGGACCGGGAGGGAUUGUCAACUACAACCAGAUGCCCCUGGGGCCCUAUGUGACUGACAUCUAGCCGUCCCCGCAACACCCGCCCGUUGCAGCGCCCGUGUCCAGCCGAGACACGUUCGCUGGGCCACCUGUCUGACCCCCACGGGAGAGAAAGGCUCCCGACGUGUAGGAGCCGGUGUCAGCCGGGGACAAAGAGGGAAACCGAGUGACGGUAUCACGUGGAGGAGGAGGCCCGGCCUGGCCGGGCCAGAGCCGUGAAGUGCCACCUCGUCAUAAACCAGUGUUCUUCCACGCGGCACCGCACCACGGCCACGCGGAUGUGUCCCUUUCGCCCCUUCCAGAGCGACUUCCUAGAAAAGAUUCAUUUAUCUGUACAUCUUUGCACUUUCCUAUUGAAGACAUGGAUGCUUCUGUCUCGAUGAAAGUCGGAUGCCGUGUGGGAUAUUCCGGCCUGGAGCACCCCUGUCCCCGGCCGUGGACCUGAAGGAAAGCCCCCGACUGCCCCACUGGAGAGGACGCAGUGCCUGGCGACCUAAGGAGCCCUUAGUGUGUCCCUCACCCCAUCCCAUGUGUCUCUGUGGUGCCCUUCUGCUCUGUCCCCUGCCUGCCUGGGACCCCUGUGCCAGUGGGUCAGGUGCGAGGGUGCUGUCCAGCCCGGCGGUCAGGACACUGGCUGGUACCCAGGUCUGAGAGGGUGUUUCCUGCCGCCUUCCUGGGUGUCCCCUGGGAGAAGGUGGGCACAGGUCUGUCCCCGGCCCAGUGUGGGCUCUGUGGUUCCAGCAGCGGGAUGGUGGCCUUAGGGGUGCAUAGCAGGGCCUGAAGCUGUGACAGGUCCACUGCAGGAAGGGCAGGAGGUUCCUUGUCUGCCGGGAUUGUAGUUGUAGGCAGGUGUGGCUCGUGCCCUCGCAGGGAAGGUCGUGGUCAUGGUGGCCCAGGAGGCCCUGGGAGGCUCGUCCUGCUCACCUCUGGGUAUGGACUUCCCUGUCCAAAGUGCCCUGGGCCGCAGAUGCCAAGGAACCAGGCCACCCUUGAGGCGGGACUCCCCCUUCCCCCUCCCUGCAGAGGCUUAGAAGUGACAUUUUCUGCCUAGGGCUGCUGUGGGCUUGCUAAGUUCUUGGAGGGCAGGGGCUGGAUGCGUUGGCCUGUGUCUACCAGGUGCCUGCCUUAUCUCGUGCAGGAGCAGCGUGGAGCCUGGGCCAUUCUGAAAGAGAGGGACCUUGGGCACAGAAUCCUCUGAGUGAGAAGGGACCCUGGGUAGGGCACCAGAGUGGCUCUGGCCAGGCCCUCAGGGGAAGAUGUGGGGGACAGCACUUCUGGGCCCGGCUGGGGCUGGGAGAGGGGCAGUCACCGUAGCUUCUCGUGGAUCCUUUGUCUACAGUGUGGCUCUUCCUGUGAACCUCAGAGGCCAGACUCCCAAAUCCCUUCCACCUUGGCUGGCUCCCCACACUCCUGUCUUCAUCCAGAGCCCCAGAGGCAGAGUGGGGAGCCCCGGGGGUGAGGAGCAUUCCCAGGGGCCCUGAGCAUGGCCUGGGCUUAGUUUUGCUGAUGGCAGAACCGGUGGCCUACACGUAGUGGGGUCCCGGCUGGCAGCCCCUGUUCCCAUCUCCUGCCACGUAGUCCCAGUGCGGCCAGGUCUGUGCAGAACCGAUUUGGGUCAGAAGUCUCGGAAGGUGCCUCGGGGACACAGGGAGCUGGGCUUAGUGUUGGACUUGGAGUCCCUGUGUUCCCAGGACCGCCCGAGGGGAGGAGAUGCCCCUGAACGCCACCUUUGGAAGCUCCCUGCGUGCUCCCCCACAGCCCCGUGGCUGUGGUCAGCAGGUCCUGCCAGGUGUUGCAGGCCGGGCCGAGCAGAGGGUGGGCUGGGGAGCUGGGAGACCAGGGGCUCCGCAGCAGGCGACUGUUGGUCACUUGGCACCUCAGAUGGGAGCCACCCUGUGCCCACUCCCUGCUGGGUGGCCAUGCGGAGCCGGGGGGAGCAGGGCGGAAGUGAGCCCAGCUGGUCACACACCCAGAAGUUUACAGUUGUGGUUGCGUCAGCCCAAAGUCAUUGCGUGUCGUGUUUAUGAUCUCUCCCCCCUUAACUUUCAGAUUUUUUUUUAAACAAAGUAUUUUUUUAGGUGCGAUGACCCAGACAGGGCCCGUUGGGUGUGUGUGUGUCCUGAACGCUUCUCAUAGAGGGCGGAGCCAGCCUGGGGCAGCGGGGGCGUGGGGGUCCCACUCUGCAAGCUGGGGGGUCUCAGCCAGGGUCCCAGCAGGCAGGGGUUGAGCUCUGGACCCCGGGCCCCGCUGUGAGUCAUGACACGUUCCCCGUCCGGGCCCAAGGGAGGCUGGACAGACUGUAGCCAGCACGGUCCCCUUUACUUUGUACUCUGUGUGUAUGUUUUGGUUUCUGUGUUUUAAUAAAUCCUUUGGGAAGGGGA